rnacentral:miRNA from 1 species
GGAAAAGUAUUUGCGGUUUUUGCCACUAAUCCUCAUGGCAAAAACCACAAUUAACUUUUGUACCAAUCUACCAUUCUGUACUCC